rnacentral:rRNA from 1 species
AUUGAACGCUGGCGGCAGGCCUAACACAUGCAAGUCGAACGGUAGCACAGAGGAGCUUGCUCCUUGGGUGACGAGUGGCGGACGGGUGAGUAAUGUCUGGGGAACUGCCCGAUGGAGGGGGAUAACUACUGGAAACGGUAGCUAAUACCGCAUAACGUCGCAAGACCAAAGAGGGGGACCUUCGGGCCUCUUGCCAUCGGAUGUGCCCAGAUGGGAUUAGCUAGUAGGUGGGGUAACGGCUCACCUAGGCAACGAUCCCUAGCUGGUCUGAGAGGAUGACCAGCCACACUGGAACUGAGACACGGUCCGGACUCCUACGGGAGGCAGCAGUGGGGGAUAUUGCACAAUGGGCGCAAGCCUGAUGCAGCCCUGCCGCGUGUAUGAAGAAGGCCUUCGGGUUGUAAAGUACUUUCAGCGAGGAGGAAGGCAUUAAGGUUAAUAACCUUAGUGAUUGACGUUACUCGCAGAAGAAGCACCGGCUAACUCCGUGCCAGCCGCCGCCGUAA